rnacentral:rRNA from 1 species
AUCGGAAAAGAAACCAACAGGGAUUACCUCAGUAACGGCGAGUGAAGCGGUAACAGCUCAAAUUUGAAAUCUGGCCUCACGGUCCGAGUUGUAAUUUGUAGAGGAUGCUUCGAGCAUGGUCUGGCCUAAGUUCCUUGGAACAGGACGUCAUAGAGGGUGAGAAUCCCGUAUGCGGCCAGGUGCCUACGCUCAUGUGAAGCUCCUUCGACGAGUCGAGUUGUUUGGGAAUGCAGCUCAAAAUGGGUGGUAAAUUUCAUCUAAAGCUAAAUAUUGGCCAGAGACCGAUAGCGCACAAGUAGAGUGAUCGAAAGAUGAAAAGCACUUUGGAAAGAGAGUUAAACAGUACGUGAAAUUGUUGAAAGGGAAGCGCUUGCAACCAGACUUGCGCGCGGCCGAUCAUCCGGUGUUCUCACCGGUGCACUCGGCCGUGCUCAGGCCAGCAUCGGUUUUGGCGGCUGGAUAAAGGCCCUAGGAAUGUGGCUCCUCUCGGGGAGUGUUAUAGCCUAGGGUGCAAUGCAGCCUGCUGGGACCGAGGACCGCGCUUCGGCUAGGAUGCUGGCGUAAUGGUUGUAAGCGGCCCGUCUUGAAACACGGACCAAGGAGUCUAACAUCUAUGCGAGUGUUUGGGUGUCAAACCCAUACGCGUAAUGAAAGUGAACGGAGGUGAGAACCCUUAAGGGUGCAUCAUCGACCGGUCCUGAAGUUUACGGAAGGAUCUGAGUAAGAGCAUAGCUGUUGGGACCCGAAAGAUGGUGAACUAUGCCUGAAUAGGGUGAAGCCAGAGGAAACUCUGGUGGAGGCUCGCAGCGGUUCUGACGUGCAAAUCGAUCGUCAAAUUUGGGUAUAGGGGCGAAAGACUAAUCGAACCAUCAUUGC